rnacentral:rRNA from 1 species
GGCGGAUUAGUGGCGAACGGGUGAGUAACACGUGAGUAACCUGCCCUUGACUUCGGGAUAACUCCGGGAAACCGGGGCUAAUACCGGAUAUGAGCCGUCCUCGCAUGGGGGUGGUUGGAAAGUUUUUCGGUCAGGGAUGGGCUCGCGGCCUAUCAGCUUGUUGGUGGGGUGAUGGCCUACCAAGGCGACGACGGGUAGCCGGCCUGAGAGGGCGACCGGCCACACUGGGACUGAGACACGGCCCAGACUCCUACGGGAGGCAGCAGUGGGGAAUAUUGCACAAUGGGCGAAAGCCUGAUGCAGCGACGCCGCGUGAGGGAUGAAGGCCUUCGGGUUGUAAACCUCUUUCAGCAGGGAAGAAGCGCAAGUGACGGUACCUGCAGAAGAAGCGCCGGCUAACUACGUGCCAGCAGCCGCGGUAAUACGUAGGGCGCAAGCGUUGUCCGGAAUUAUUGGGCGUAAAGAGCUCGUAGGCGGUUUGUCGCGUCUGGUGUGAAAACUCGAGGCUCAACCUCGAGCUUGCAUCGGGUACGGGCAGACUAGAGUGCGGUAGGGGAGACUGGAAUUCCUGGUGUAGCGGUGGAAUGCGCAGAUAUCAGGAGGAACACCGAUGGCGAAGGCAGGUCUCUGGGCCGCAACUGACGCUGAGGAGCGAAAGCAUGGGGAGCGAACAGGAUUAGAUACCCUGGUAGUCCAUGCCGUAAACGUUGGGCACUAGGUGUGGGGCUCAUUCCACGAGUUCCGUGCCGCAGCAAACGCAUUAAGUGCCCCGCCUGGGGAGUACGGCCGCAAGGCUAAAACUCAAAAGGAAUUGACGGGGGGCCCGCACAAGCGGGCGGAGCAUGGCGGAUUAAUUUCGAUGCAACCCCGAAAGAACCUUUACCAAAGGCUUUGACAUUGCACCAAAAAACCCCCCAAAAGAUGGUGGGUCUCUUUUGGA